rnacentral:rRNA from 1 species
UACGGAGGGAGCUAGCGUUGUUCGGAAUUACUGGGCGUAAAGGGCGCGUAGGCGGCGACCCAAGUCAGAUGUGAAAGUCCUGGGCUUAACCUGGGGACUGCAUUUGAUACUGGGUUGCUUGAAUUCGGGAGAGGAUAGCGGAAUUCCCAGUGUAGAGGUGAAAUUCGUAGAUAUUGGGAAGAACACCGGUGGCGAAGGCGGCUAUCUGGACCGACAUUGACGCUGAGGCGCGAAAGCGUGGGGAGCAAACAGG